rnacentral:lncRNA from 10 species
AUGCUGAGAUUUCUCCAGGACACACCUGUGCACUGUUGCAGAGCAGCUGAUCUCGGGGAAGGCUGGUUUUGCCACACAGGUGGUGUCAGGGCGGUCUCAACAGGCUCCCAACCCAACCAAAUAAAGAGUGAUCUCCAUGGAGACAAACAUCGAACUCACUCCCUCCAGUUUGUAAAACUGAAUGUGAAUGGCCAUUCCAAAUCGGCUGUCUUAAUCCACUCAGAGCAGCAGGAAGUAUUUAACUGUUCAACAUAUUAA